UGAACGUGGCGGCGUGCNUAACACAUGCAAGUCGAACGGAGAUGCGAUGUGAGCGAGAGGUGCUUGCACUGAUUAAUCNUUUCGUAUCUUAGUGGCGGACGGGUGAGUAACGCGUGGGUAACCUGCCUUAUACCGGGGGAUAACACUUAGAAAUAGGUGCUAAUACCGCAUAAGCGCACGGUGUCGCAUGACACAGUGUGAAAAACUCCGGUGGUAUAAGAUGGACCCGCGUCUGAUUAGCCAGUUGGCAGGGUAACGGCCUACCAAAGCGACGAUCAGUAGCCGGCCUGAGAGGGUGAACGGCCACAUUGGGACUGAGACACGGCCCAAACUCCUACGGGAGGCAGCAGUGGGGAAUAUUGCACAAUGGGGGAAACCCUGAUGCAGCGACGCCGCGUGAGUGAAGAAGUAUUUCGGUAUGUAAAGCUCUAUCAGCAGGGAAGAAGAAAUGACGGUACCUGANUAAGAAGCCCCGGCUAACUACGUGCCAGCAGCCGCGGUAAUACGUAGGGGGCAAGCGUUAUCCGGAUUUACUGGGUGUAAAGGGAGCGUAGACGGUGAAGCAAGUCUGAAGUGAAAGGUUGGGGCUCAACCCCGAAACUGCUUUGGAAACUGUUUAACUGGAGUACAGGAGAGGUAAGUGGAAUUCCUAGUGUAGCGGUGAAAUGCGUAGAUAUUAGGAGGAACACCAGUGGCGAAGGCGGCUUACUGGACUGUAACUGACGUUGAGGCUCGAAAGCGUGGGGAGCAAACAGGAUUAGAUACCCUGGUAGUCCACGCCGUAAACGAUGAUUACUAGGUGUUGGUGGAUAUGGAUCCAUCGGUGCCGCAGCAAACGCAAUAAGUAAUCCACCUGGGGAGUACGUUCGCAAGAAUGAAACUCAAAGGAAUUGACGGGGACCCG
rnacentral:rRNA from 1 species